UACGAAGGGGCUAGCGUUGCUCGGAAUCACUGGGCGUAAAGGGUGCGUAGGCGGGUCUUUAAGUCAGGGGUGAAAUCCUGGAGCUCAACUCCAGAACUGCCUUUGAUACUGAGGAUCUUGAGUCCGGGAGAGGUGAGUGGAACUGCGAGUGUAGAGGUGAAAUUCGUAGAUAUUCGCAAGAACACCAGUGGCGAAGGCGGCUCACUGGCCCGGUACUGACGCUGAGGCACGAAAGCGUGGGGAGCAA
rnacentral:rRNA from 1 species